rnacentral:rRNA from 1 species
UUCGCAAUGCCCGAAAGGGUGACGAAGCGACGCCGCGUGUGGGAAGAAGGCCCUAGGGUUGUAAACCGCUGUCAGGAGUUAAGAAAUAUAGAGGUGUUAAUAGCGCUUCUAUUUGACGAAAGCUCCAGAGGAAGCCACGGCUAACUCUGUGCCAGCAGCCGCGGUAAUACAGAGGUGGCAAGCGUUGUUCGGAAUUAUUGGGCGUAAAGAGCACGUAGGCGGCCCUGCAAGUCAGUUGUGAAAGCCUUCCGCUUAACGGGAGAACGGCAGCUGAUACUACGGGGCUAGAGUACGGGAGGGGAGAGUGGAACUUCUGGUGGAGCGGUGAAAUGCGUAGAUAUCAGAAGGAACGCCGGCGGCGAAAGCGACUCUCUGGACCGAAACUGACGCUGAGUGUGCGAAAGCUAGGGGAGCAAACGGGAUUAGAUACCCCGGUAGUCCUAGCCGUAAACGAUGGGCACUAAGUAGAGGGGCUUUGAUUAUCUCUCUGCCGGAGCUAACGCAUUAAGUGCCCCGCCUGGGGAGUACGGCCGCAGGGCUAAAACUCAAAAGAAUUGACGGGGGCUCGCACAAGCGGUGGAGCAUGUGGCUUAAUUCGAUGCAACGCGAAGAACCUUACCGGGGCUUGACAUGAUAGAAGUAGAAACCCGAAAGGGCGACGAACGGUAUCCAAUCCGUAACUAUCACAGGUGUUGCAUGGCUGUCGUCAGCUCGUGUCGUGAGACGUUGGGUUAAGUCCCCUAACGAGCGAAACCCUUGUCUUUAGUUGCCAUCAGGUUAAGCUGGGCACUCUAAAGAGACUGCCGUCGUUAAGACGGAGGAAGGUGGGGAUGACGUCAAGUCAUCAUGGCCCUUAUGUCCCGGGCUGCGCACGUGCUACAAUGGUCGAUACAAAGGGAUGCUAAAUCGUGAGAUGGAGCGAAACCCAUAAAGUCGAUCCCAGUUCAGAUUGGAGGCUGAAACUCGCCUCCAUGAAGUAGGAAUCGCUAGUAAUCGCGGAUCAGCCUCGCCGCGGUGAAUAUGUUCCCGAGCCUUGUACACACCGCCCGUG